rnacentral:rRNA from 1 species
AAGUGAGUUUGAUCCUGGCUCCGGAUGAACGCUAGCAAUAUACUUAACACAUGCUAGUCGAAUGUUUAUAAGACAUGGCGAACGGGUGCGUAAUACAUAGAAAAUUUGCUUUAAAGUAGAGAAAUAAUUCUAUUAUUAAAAUCAAAUUAUAAUUUAUUAUUUUUGCUCUUUUAAUAAAGAAAAAUGUCCUAUAAUUUAAGAAAAGGUAUAAAUACCGCUUUAAAAUGAGUCUAUGCAAGAUUAGGUAGUUGGUUAGGUAAAUGCUGACCAAGCCGAAGAUCUUUAGUUGGUCUGAGAGGACGAUCAGCCACACUGGAACUGAGAUAAGGUCCAGGCUUUAAGCCAGCAGUGUGGAAUCUUGGACAAUGGGCGAAAGCUUGAUCCAGUAAUAUUGCGUGAAUGAGGAAAGCAUAAAAGAUUUCUAUCCUUCUCUUUUGAUCGAUAGGAAUUGGCUGUAAAGUUAUUUCACUAAUGAAGAUUAUGACAUUAAUUAGAGAAGAAGCUCCGGCUAAUUUCGUGCCAGCAGCCGCGGUAAUACGAAAGGAGCAAGCGUUAUCCUAAAUGAUUGGGCGUAAAGGGUUCGUAGGCUGUAUUAAUUUUUAUAUGUAAAAAAAUAAGAUAAUCUCUUAUUCCUGCAUACAAUACGUUAAUACUUGAGUAUAAUUGAGGAUAGCAGAAUUUUAUUAGGAGGAGUAAAAUCCAUAAAUCAAUGAAGGAAUGCCAGAGGCGAAGGCGGCUAUCUGGGUUAUUACUGACGUUGAGGAACGAAAGCAUGGGUAGCAAACAGGGUUAGAUAUUCUGGUAGUCCAUGCUGUCAAAGAUGAGUGUUAAUAUUGGGUUAUUCUGAUAUACAGCUAACGCGUUAAACAUUCCGCCUGGGGAGUACGGUCGCAAGGCUGGAACUCAAAGGAAUUGACGGGGAUCUACACAAGUGGUGGAGCAUGUGGUUUAAUGCGAUAAUACGCGCGAAAUCUUACCAGUUCUUGAAUAUUACAAAAUCAAUAAUUUUAUUUUAUUGCUGGUAUGAAGAUUUAGUGCAUUUUUAACUAUUGUUUUACAGGUGUUGCAUGGCUGUCGUCAGCUCGUGCCGUGAGGUGUUUGGUUAAAUCCAUUAACGGGCGCAACUCUUGUAUUAUUUUGGUAAUUAUUAAUUUCAUUUUUGUUAAUAGAAUUAAUAAUACAACUUCUAAUAUACUGCUAACUUCAAGUUAGAGGAAGGUGAGAAUUACGUCAAGUCCUUAUGGCCCUUAUGGACUGGGCUACACACGUGCUACAAUGAAUUUAACAAAGAGGUAUACAAUAAAGUCAAUUUGGAGUAAAACUCAAAAAGUUUUCGUGUUCAGAUUAUAAGCUGCAAUUCGCUUAUAUGAAGGUGGAAUCACAAGUAAUCGUAAAUCAGCAUGUUACGGUGAAAAUGUACCUAGAUUUUGCACACACCGCCCGUCACAUGCCGGAAGUGCGUUUUGUUUGAAAUUGAUUCUUUUAUUUCAUGUAACUGAAAUUAAUUCUAAAUGAUUUUUCAGUUUUACGGUUUUUUGAAGAAUUACUUAUUAUAGAGCAUAUGACUGGGAUGAAGUCGUAACAAGGUAGUCGUACGGGAACGUGUGGCUGG